rnacentral:rRNA from 1 species
AGCAGCCGCGGUAAUUCCAGCUCCAAUAGCGUAUAUUAAAGUUGUUGCAGUUAAAAAGCUCGUAGUUGAAUUUCGGGAUUGACACAUCGGUCGUGCCUUAAGGGGUAUGAACUGGUGUAGUCAAUUUCUCACCUUCUGGAGAACCGCGAUGCCCUUAAUUGGGUGUCACGGGGAACCAGGACCUUUACUUUGAAAAAAUUAGAGUGUUUAAAGCAGGCAUUUUGCUUGAAUACAUUAGCAUGGAAUAAUAAAAUAGGACGGCAUGAUUCUAUUUUGUUGGUUUCUAGGAUCACCGUAAUGAUUAAUAGGGAUAGUUGGGGGCAUUAGUAUUCAAUUGUCAGAGGUGAAAUUCUUGGAUUUAUUGAAGACUAACUACUGCGAAAGCAUUUGCCAAGGAUGUUUUCAUUAAUCAAGAACGAAAGUUAGGGGAUCGAAGACGAUCAGAUACCGUCGUAGUCUUAACCAUAAACUAUGCCGACUAGGAAUCAGACGAUGUUAAUUUUUAAUGACUCGUUUGACA